rnacentral:misc_RNA from 1 species
UUGUUUUUAUUUUGAAAAUGUCAUUAUAUUAAAAAUACUAUUUUUAUUCAACAUAAUAAAACAUUUAGUUGUAGAAAUAUUAAUAUUAAGUGUAAUAUAUACAUAGUUUAAUCUAGUAAUCAAAACACAGUGUAAUAUCAAUAAUUUGAGGUUAUCAAGCCGAAUGCUGGUAUGUGGUCUGAGGCAAUACGUAUUUGUAGAGAGUACUUACCAAGUCAAGAAGCAGCUUUACGUCGUGAGUUAACACAAAAAAGCAUUGGAAAUGAUAGCACACAAACUCUGAAAGAAGCUGGACGUUGGUUAAAAAUACCGCUUCACAAGUUGCUACAGAAUUAGGAGCUAAAUUAGCUAGUCAUGAAGAACAUGCUUUAGCGGCACAAGUUUAUCUUAUGCCUCAAGAUAAUAGCAUGAAACUCCAUAAAUGUAAAUGUAUUAGUGAAUGUGCUUUCUUUGGCAACAACAAAAAUAGCCUCAGAUUUUUAAAAUUAACUUAUCAUGAUUUGCAAGAUGGUAUAAGCAUUACAGCUUACAGGAUCAAUACGUCAGGCAAAGAAGAAGGUUUUGGUCAGUCUAUUUUACACUACGGUCAAUUAGUAUUUCAUGCUUCUCCAUAUAAUUUUCAGGAUGUAUUUAGCUGUAUGGUAACAGCUAAAUUUACACAUGUACUUCAAAAAGAUGUAUUUCGAGCUCUUUGUAAAUUAUCUAUAAAACCUCUACCAGAUGGAACACCUGAUCCCAAAUCACAUGAAUUAAGAUCUAAAAUAUUAUCGUUACAAUUACUAUUAGGCAUUUUACAAAAUGCUGGACCAAUCUUACGAUCAAAUGAAAUGUUUGUUAUUGCAAUUAUACUAUACUUGUAUGUUGCAUUAUUUAAAAAUUGUGUAUCAUCUGUUCCAGGAGUAUUUGAAUUAUCUUCGGCAUUGUUCCUUGCGUUAUUAGCAAAACCUAAAAUACAUUUAAAGAUGCAAAUAGAAGUAUUUUUUAAAGAAAUAUUUAUGAAUAUAUUAGAAACGUAGUUCAAGUGGUUCAUUUGAACAUAAAUGGAUGGUGAUUCAUGCAUUAACUCGUAUUUGUGGAGAUGCUAAAAGUGUUGUAGAUAUAUACGUAAAUUAUGAUUGUGACUUUUCGGCUGCUAAUUUAUUUGAACGACUUGUUAAUGAUUUAUCGAAAAUAGCACAAGGUCGUCUCAAUGGAGUAGAGACUUUUAUGUCAAUCCUGGUACUCCUAUUGAUCAACAAUUGUCUACAGAACCUCUAGAUCCACUGCUCGAUCCAUCAUUACCAAGAUAUGGAAAUGCUGGAAGUCUUUCUUCUGUUAAUUCUAGUCUUAUAGGCAGCAAAAAAUUCACAGAUUCACCAGAACAAUUUGAAGUUCAAAAACAACAAAAAGAAGUAUGGGAAGCAGAUAUAGAAAUGUUUAAUAGAAAUCCUAGUAAGGGGAUACAAUGUCUUCAAGAACAAGGUUUACUUGGGAAUUCUCCUGAUGACGUUGCACGUUUCCUUCACAAUGAUGAAUGAUUAGAUAAAACAGCGAUUGGAGAUUUCUUAGGAGAUCACAAUCCUAAUCAAGUUAUGUACAACUAUAUUGAUUAAAUGGAUUUUGCUAAUAGAGAUUUAGUUACAGCUCUUAGAUAUUUUCUUGAAGGUUUCCAAAUUCCUGGUAAAGCUCAAAAAAUAGACCGAUUAAUGGAAAAAUUUACUAGUAGAUAUUGUAAAUGUAAUCCGAAGAUAGUAAAAAUACUCUCAAAUCUUAUAUUUCACAUUACAACAAAUGGAAAUAUUUUCAAUCUGUUGUUUUUAGUAAUGGACUAUUCACCAGUGCCAAUACUGCCUAUGUUUUGGGAUUCUCAAUAAUUAUGUUAACUACAGAUUUGCAUUCCCCUCAAGUAAAAAAUAAAAUGACUAAAGAGCAAUAUAUCAAAGUAAAUCGACAUAUUAGUGAUAAUGAAGAAUUACCCGAAGAAUAUCUAUCAAAAAUUUAUGAUGAAAUUGCUGGCAAUGAAAUGAAAAUGAAUUCACAUCCAAAUCGGCCUGGUAAACAAGUUAUAUCAAGUGAAAAAAAGCGACGAUUAUUGUGGAAUAUGGAAAUGGAAUGAAUAUCAACAGCUGCAAAAAAUUUAAUGGAUUCCGUUAAUCACGUUCAAGCUCAUUUGGAAUAAUUAAGAUUUCAAAUCCUUAUUAACCGUAAUUGCUCUAAUGUAUCUUU